GUGCCAGCAUAUCCAUACAUACUAAAUUUUAAUCUAACCUCAAAACAUUUUAUUGAAAUAAGUCUGACCGUUCAUUAGUGAGGCUCCCGCUUAUUAACGAAUAAGUUUCCCUUAAUUUCAAAUGAUUUAAGUGUUCAUCGAAAAUUAUGCGCCAGGAAGAUUUCUUUGCCAUUCUUGUGAUUAUUGCCAUCAAUCUAUCCUAUACUUAUAGUGGUCCGAAUAAUUUGCACCUUUCGGAUGGCACAUCGACCGCGGAACUGAUAUCUGGUGAUGUGUUUUUUGAGAUUGUUGAACCUGAAGUACUAGAGUACACAUAUAGAUUGAAACCUGCUAAAGAUUUUGGGAUACCAUUUAAUAAGUCCAUUGAGUUCAAGCAUAUUUUAUUGGUGCCAGCACAACCAAGACAUGCUUGUACUGACCUUACAAACAUUGAUGACAUUGAAGGAAAUGUUGCAUUUAUUGAAAGAGGGGAUUGUUCUUUUAAAAAGAAAACAAUUAUAGCUGAAAAAGCAGGAGCUCGUGCUGUAAUAAUAACUGAUACAAACAAAGAGAAUGAAGAAUAUUACGUAGAGAUGAUUGAUGACGAUCUGACAACGGACGUAAAUAUUCCCGCGGGUUUUCUAAUUGGUCGCAAUGGAAUUAUGAUCAUGAAUCAAUUGCGACGGCUCAAUAUGAAGUAUGCAGUAAUCAAUCUACCCGUGAACCUUACAUUCACGCCGGUUCAUAAAAUCAAUCAGCCGCCUUGGCUAGACUGGUGACCUUACUAUCUAUUUAGAUACUUUUAAAGAAGUGCAGUACUCGUGCAAGUAUCCGUCGAUGAAAAUUAUCUAAAACAAUGAGUGUUAAUUAACCUCAUUUCGGGACUACCGGGUGGACGUUUUGCUUACUUUCACAUAGAACUCAUCGUUGACUUUGUGUAGUUCGAACGUUAGGCUUCCAAUGUACAACGGCCAAAUCAGUUCAGGAAACUUCAAGAUUUGCAUCAGAGCAACGACGUUUAUAUCAUGUCCGGAGUAUAAAAUAAUCUUAGGUGAGUCACCUUUUAAGUUUUCUACUUUUGCCUCCAUUUCGGAAAGAAUCUUUUGCAUUAAAUAUCCUAUACCAUCUUUUAAAUAAUCUUUACGCGCCAUAUUCUCAGUCAAAUAGGUGGAAAUUUCUUGUUCAAUCUUUUUGGGAUAGAUAUCCGCAAUCCAUUCAGGGAGCUCUAGCCCUAAAUCUAACUGACUCUUGAUGAUAUCAUAAAUCAUUGUUAAUUGAGAGGCAUGGUCAAUUUUCCAAUUGAGUUUGCCUUCAACAUGUUUUACUACUUCGAUGCUGUUUUGGGACUUUUUGAAUUCCGAAUGAUUUUUGUUGUUAGUGACCUGCAGAAUCAUAGGUCCGAACAGGGGAUCUUUCGUUAUACGUUGAUAAUUGAAUGGAAUAGGAUGCCAGUUUAGAUCCUCGGUUAUUCUAGUAGUUUUAGUUGGAGGAAAUAGUCCGGCUAGGACCAAUUGUAGGGUAGUUCUAGCCCGUCCAACUUCGGAACUAUGCGCUUCCAACAGGGAGUCAUAAUAUUCAGCCCCUAAGAAGCUAUUAUAACGAUCACGUAGUUCCUUACCAAAUUCAUAACAUUGCUUACGACCAUUCUAAAUUAAAAUUUGGUAUCAAUUUUUUGAAAUUGAAGUUUGCAUAAUUUUACCUUUGUAAGUUGGCCACGCCCAAAAGGUUCAAAUUUGACAUUUUGAUAGGGAUCACCGGGAUAACUAACCAAAUGAUCAGGGGCGCGAAUACCAUGCCUAAAAACCUUGAAGUUUCGAUUUCUAAAUGCGCUAGACGCAAAUGUUUAAACUUACUACUUGCACCAACACCAACGUAGACUCGUCCAUGGCUUUUUUUUACCGAGAUAAGAUUAGUAUAUAAUUAUGACGUUGUUGCAGUGCCUAGCUUCGUGUUGUGACUGUUCUCUCAAAAAUUACGCUUGCCACGUUAUUCGUCUCGUCUGGUAUGUGUACAAGCAUUUGAACAUUCAUGGUUCCAACCAAAUUUCAAGGUCAAAUAUAAUUUAUAUGACCAAUGUCAAUGAUUGCACCAUCAAUACAAACUACACAUAUAGAUAUAAUCCAUAUAUUUGUUCAUUGCGGUGAAAUUUUUAUCAUUAAAUACACACAUUAAUAAAAUUAUUUAUAAAUUAAUACUUUUAAAAUAUAUUGGUUUUAUAAUUUAGUAGCAGUCGGGAAAUACUCUUGAACGUGCUUGGUGAAUUCACUUAACUUGCACAUCUCUUCAUUGGAAUUUGGUAGCUUCAAAAUGUUUAAUUUUUCUUCAUUUGAGAGAUUUUUAGCAUCCUCUGGUCCAUUUUGGUGCAGUAUCUUUACGUAGAAUUCCCCAUCGAUUUUGUGUAACUCAAACGUAAUAUUUGACAUGUAGUUCGGCCAUUUUGUAGAAUCAAACUGCUUGAAAAUACUUAAAAUACCCGCGAUGUUAAUAUCAUGUCCAGAGUACAGAAAAAUCUUGGGAAGUUUCUCUCCAUUCCUAGUAAUUUCUUCAACUUUUUGGGUCAUAAUGUUAUUGAUUUCUUUGAUAAACUCACCAAAUCCACCAAUAAUAAAAUCCUUUCGGGCGAAGUUAUGUUUGGUAAAAUCUUCAAAUUCUUUUUUCAAUUUGUUUGGGAAAAUUUCCACGCACCACUUUGGCAUUUCUAGGCCUACGCCAAUCUGAGUUUUCAGGGUAUCGAAAAGGAGUAAACAUUGUGCUUGAACUCUUACAUUCCACUUCAGAUCUUCUUCUAUACAUUUAAUCACCUCUUGACUGUUGGCAGUUUUACGAAAUUCUGGAUGGUCUUCGUGCUGAUACAUAUUUACAAUAGCUCUACCUAUGAGAGCGUCUUCUUUUAGUGGUUUAUAAGUGAAAGGCACGGGUUGCCAGUUGAGGGUAUCGUGAAUUUUGCUGGUUGAUGAUGGUGGAAAGAGGCCGGCUAGCACUAAUUGAAGAGUGGUUCGCGCACGAGAGAUUUCGGAACUUUUUGCUUCAACUAAUCCGUUGACGUAGUCAGGGCCUAGGAAUUUCGAGUAGCGAUUGCGCAGUGUUUGGCCGAACGCAAAACAUUGUUUUCUUCCAAUCUAAAAGCAAAUUAAAUGGUUAAAAUUUCUUCUCGAUGUUUUAUUAUUUUUACUUACCAAAGUUAGCUCACCUCUUCCAUAUGGUAAAUAGGGCUCGAGUUCAUACGGAUCUCCAGGAUAGUUGAGUUUUUGGUCUGGGGAUCUGUGACCAUGUCUAAAAAUCUGUUUAUUUAUCAAUAAUUAAUAUUCGCUAUAAUUUUAUUUACUUAAAUUCUUACAACUUGAGUCAAAACCAAUGUUGACUGGUCUAUAUUAUUGGACUUAUUAGAUCUAGACAUGCUAGAAAGGCUUCUAGCCAAGGAUAUUGAUACUAAAAAUAUAAAAAAAUAUGGAUAUACAUAUAGGAUAUAAAUUACUAUUUCAUUUGUGGGAUUAAUUCAAAUUUUCUACCUGUUAUUCUUAAACUAUUCAAAAGCAAUGUUUUCACAAGCAAUGUGCAGACUAAACUAACUUUCACUAUUAGUAAUCACAUGGUCAGGUACUCUGAACGAUAUCGAUUAUUUUAUUUUUUACCGAGUAGAACAGUCCGCUCCAUAAUUGAGAUAUAAUGAUGAUAAUACAGAUCGAUAAGUACUUACGUUUUGCAGGCAUGUUUUAUAUGAGUUAUACUGUUAUACUGUUUUACUCCGCUUUAACUUCGUCCAUGCAUCCCGCGCAAAAUUAAAUUUCCAGUCACGUUUACGAUGAUUCACUCCUAAAAGAUGACCGCGUAUUCGCCGGAAAUAAGUUAAAAAGCUAGUAAUACUAAAGUAGCUUGCUGUAUCAGUCGCGUGUUAGUUUGCAUCUAACACGAUAUUCAAACAGCAUGACUUGAUGAAUUACACUCACGCGUUAUUAUUUAUGGUUUUACGUACACCAUGGACUAAGCAUUAUCACUGGCUACAGUGAGUAUACAAAUGUGGUGGAAUUGUGCGGUUCGGUAAACACAUUUCUCCACGUUGAAUCAACCUCAUUCAAGUUCAUUUUGAUAACACAAGUGGAUUCCAAGGUAGUGAUUGAUUUCUUUAAAUAUCAUCACAAGUGCAUCCCGGUGCGUAAUGUUCCUCAGUAUAGUUUUCAAAUUCUUCUAAUGUUAUAAAAUCGUCAUAACCAGGAAUGGUCAUCAAUUUUGGUUCAUUAUAACUAUUUUGGAAGAAUAUCUACAAAAUAAAAAUUAAUAAAAUUAA